CGGGUGAGUAACACGUAUCCAACCUGCCGUCUACUCUUGGACAGCCUUCUGAAAGGAAGAUUAAUACAAGAUGGCAUCAUGAGUUCACAUGUUCACAUGAUUAAAGGUAUUCCGGUAGACGAUGGGGAUGCGUUCCAUUAGAUAGUAGGCGGGGUAACGGCCCACCUAGUCUUCGAUGGAUAGGGGUUCUGAGAGGAAGGUCCCCCACAUUGGAACUGAGACACGAUCCAA
rnacentral:rRNA from 1 species